UCAUCAACAUCUAAUGGCUCUUAAUCCUCCGGUGUUUAACACUACCAACCACGCAUUACGCCACUAGAAUCCAUCGAUCGCUAAUCUGCCCGUCGUUAAACAAAAACCGCUGCCUGCACACGACCGCACGACCUCUCUCGACCCAUCCUCCUCCUCCCGUGCCGUUCGCCGCCCAGUCAUUCCUCUCGCAGCCCCGCGCCGCCAUUAGUCGCAGGACCCGCCCCGCCGCGCCCGGAGCCGCCUCCCAUAGCCGCCGCCGGUCGCCGCGCCCGGAGCCGCCUCCCGCAGCCGCGGCCGGUCGCCGCGGCCGUCGCCCCGGGAGCCUCCCCGCCGGCCUUUUGCCGCCUCCCGCGGCCGCGCCCUUCGUCGCCGGUGGCCGCGCACGUCGCCCCGGGAACCGCCCCGCCAGCCCUUUGCCGCCUCCCGCAGGCGCGCCCGUCGCCCCGGGAGUCACCCGCCAGGCCCUUCACCGCGGGAGCCGCCCCCGAGCUCGUCCGUCGCGCCCGUGUCGCCGCGGGAGCCGCCGCCGAGCCCGUCCAUCGCGCCCGAGCCGCUGCCUGGCGCGGGCCAGGGUGCUCGCGACGUGACGAAUCGUCCACGUCGGCCCCUCACCGAUCUGUGCCGGAUUUUGCAUCGCCAUGCCGCCGUCUUCAUCGACCUCUCACAGUCUCACUGCAUACUGUUAUGGGCGGCCGGCGAACAAACCCACCUACUGUCAUAUCCAUCUCAAGAUUGAACGCACCUCACCUAUCCUUCGUUUCACAGCCUUUCAGGUUUUAUUCAUCUCUGUGAUACAAACUUCACCACAUUGGAGCUGUGAUGAUGCGUGUGAUGUAGCCUUUGUUCAUACUUGAAUCGAAUGCUCACGAGCUUUGGUGGUUGAUAUUUUGCUGGAUGUUUCAACAGCCCUGCGCGGCUACAUUGACGACCGAGCGAGCAAGCAGACGUGUAAUGCGAAACAUCUGAUGUGCAGUUCAGGACCAAAUCCACCAGGACCGAUUGAUGGAGUUCAGAGUCCCUGAAUCCACCGGUAUUGGUCUUUGUUCAAAGCAAAGAGAGGGCAAAAGAGCUCUACAGAGAGCUGGUAUAUGACGACAUUAGAGUUGAUGUAAUCCAUGGAGACCUUACUGAAGAGCAGCGUCAAGAUGCUGUUGACAACUUGAGAGCUGGAAAAAGGUGGGUGCUAAUAGCAACAGAGGUUCUCCCGCGGGGAAUGGAUUUCAAAGGUGUCAAGUGUGUAAUCAACUAUGAUUUCCCUGAGUCCGCGUCUGCCUACAUUCACAGAAUAGGACAGUCCGGAAGAGCAGGCAGAUCGGGGGAGGCGAUCACGUUCUUCACGGAGGAGGACAAGCCGUUCCUGUGGAACAUCGCCAACAUACUGGUAUCUUCGGGCUGCGAGGUUCCUUCCUGGAUGGUGGCGUUGCCCAAGCUCAAGAGCAGGAAGCACAGGGUGGACAGGUGUGUCGAUCUUGAUCAUCUAAUUCAUUGCCGUCAUAUUAGCAAAGUGUUGAUCGUCUCAUACGCACGAGGCUUUGCAGCUAGAUAAAAAAGAUCGAAAGCAGACAGACGUAUUAGGAAGUGUUGGUACCGUGGAAGACCCAAUAAGAUUAGUCACCGAUCUUAUUGAAGCAGAAGACCCAAUAGGCAGUGUGGGUCAUGACUCACAAGUUCAAGGCGUUUGAGGUAUAGAUCACAAUAUCAUUUUUUUUCUUUGAUAAUUUGGUGGUUAGUGGUGUUGCCACACGACCAAGUUCACAUAUAUCCUUUUUCUUCGUUUCAACUAUUCUAGAUUCUCUUAUUUGUUUAUUUCUUUUUCCUGUGAAAUUCAUUCUUUUCGUUUCCUUGUGUGUGCAUGGAUCUACCAGGAAACAAAUGGUGAGUGGUCCUCUGUCAACCUCAUUCCUCCCUUGUCCCUUGUUCGGUGGAUUAGUAUUUUUCUGUCAAUGUGUUUAUGCACUUUCUUUCUUUUAGCUCAAGCAUAUAUGAUGAGUCCUUUCAUGCACUUUUUUUACAACACUCUAAUGUGUCUGACAUGAUCAGUUGAUUUUCUGGU